CCAGCUCCAAUAGCGUAUAUUAAAGUUGUUGCAGUUAAAAAGCUCGUAGUUGAACCUUGAAGGAGGUGUAAAGUGCACGCAAGUGCGCGAUACAUCUUUUUAUUAAACUUUUUGGCCUCGUGUCAACUUGUUUAGCGUUACUGUGAAGAAAUUAGAGUGUUUAAAGCAGGCGUUUGCUUGAAUACGUCAGCAUGGAAUAACUAGAGGUUCGUCCUUUAGUUGGUGAAGGUGCGUCAUGAUUAAUAGGGCCAGUUGGGGGCAUUAGUAUUUAGUAGUCAGAGGUGAAAUUCUUGGAUUUACUAAAGACUAACUAGUGCGAAAGCAUUUGCCAAGGAUGUUUUCA
rnacentral:rRNA from 1 species